AGCCUAAUACAUGCAAGUCGAGCGAAUGGAUUAACGAGCUUGCUCUUAUGAAGUUAGCGGCGGACGGGUGAGUAACACGUGGGUAACCUGCCCAUAAGACUGGGAUAACUCCGGGAAACCGGGGCUAAUACCGGAUAACAUUUUGAACUGCAUGGUUCGAAAUUGAAAGGCGGCUUCGGCUGUCACUUAUGGAUGGACCCGCGUCGCAUUAGCUAGUUGGUGAGGUAACGGCUCACCAAGGCAACGAUGCGUAGCCGACCUGAGAGGGUGAUCGGCCACACUGGGACUGAGACACGGCCCAGACUCCUACGGGAGGCAGCAGUAGGGAAUCUUCCGCAAUGGACGAAAGUCUGACGGAGCAACGCCGCGUGAGUGAUGAAGGCUUUCGGGUCGUAAAACUCUGUUGUUAGGGAAGAACAAGUGCUAGUUGAAUAAGCUGGCACCUUGACGGUACCUAACCAGAAAGCCACGGCUAACUACGUGCCAGCAGCCGCGGUAAUACGUAGGUGGCAAGCGUUAUCCGGAAUUAUUGGGCGUAAAGCGCGCGCAGGUGGUUUCUUAAGUCUG
rnacentral:rRNA from 1 species